rnacentral:rRNA from 1 species
AAUGGGCGAAAGCCUGACGCAGCAACGCCGUGUGAGGGAUGAAGGCUUUCGGGUCGUAAACCUCUGUCGGAAGGGAAGAACGGAUGGUGGUCUAAUAGGCCUCCAUUUUGACGGUACCUUUAAAGGAAGCACCGGCUAACUCCGUGCCAGCAGCCGCGGUAAUACGGAGGGUGCAAGCGUUAUUCGGAAUUACUGGGCGUAAAGCGCGCGUAGGCUGCUUUGUAAGUCAGUGGUGAAAUCCCACGGCUCAACCGUGGAACUGCCUUUGAAACUGCGAAGCUUGAAUCCUGGAGAGGGUGGCGGAAUUCCUGGUGUAGGAGUGAAAUCCGUAGAUAUCAGGAGGAACACCGGUGGCGAAGGCGGCCACCUGGACAGGUAUUGACGCUGAGGUGCGAAAGUGUGGGGAGCAAA